CUUGGCAUUUAGAGGAAGUAAAAGUCGUAACAAGGUUUCCGUAGGUGAACCUGCGGAAGGAUCAUUAAUGAAUUUAGAUUGAACCAUAGGCGAAAGCCAGUGGUUCUUCUUUCAUAUCCAUAACACCUGUGCACUGUUGGAUGCUUGCAUCCACUUUUAAACUAAACAUUAUUGUAACAAAUGUAGUCUUAUUAUAACAUAAUAAAACUUUCAACAACGGAUCUCUUGGCUCUCGCAUCGAUGAAGAACGCAGCGAAAUGCGAUAAGUAAUGUGAAUUGCAGAAUUCAGUGAAUCAUCGAAUCUUUGAACGCACCUUGCGCUCCUUGGUAUUCCGAGGAGCAUGCCUGUUUGAGUGUCAUGAAACCCUCAAACCCAAGUUUUGGAUUUCGAUCCAUGCUUGAGUUUGGAUUUGGAUGUUUGCCGGUGAUGAACCGACUCAUCUUAAAAGUAUUAGCUUGGAUCUGUCUAUAUGACUGGUUUGACUUGGCAUAAUAAGUAUUUUGCUGAGGACAUCUUCGGAUGGCCAGGACCUAGACUACUGUCUGCUAACUAAACCAUCACUUUAAGUGCAUCUUUGGAUGUUACUCAUUGUGUAACUUUGACAUCUGGCCUCAAAUCAAGUAGGACUACCCGCUGAACUUAAGCAUAUCAAUAAGCGGAGGA
rnacentral:rRNA from 1 species